rnacentral:rRNA from 1 species
UUUAUGGAGAGUUUGAUCCUGGCUCAGGAUGAACGCUGGCGGCGUGCCUAAUACAUGCAAGUCGAGCGAACGGAUGAGAAGCUUGCUUCUCUGAUGUUAGCGGCGGACGGGUGAGUAACACGUGGAUAACCUACCUAUAAGACUGGGAUAACUUCGGGAAACCGGAGCUAAUACCGGAUAAUAUUUUGAGCCGCAUGGUUCAAAAGUGAAAGACGGUCUUGCUGUCACUUAUAGAUGGAUCCGCGCUGCAUUAGCUAGUUGGUAAGGUAACGGCUUACCAAGGCAACGAU